UACGUAGGUGGCAAGCAUUAUCCGGAUUUACUGGGCGUAAAGGGUGGCGUAGGCGGAUUUUUUAAGUGAGAUGUGAAAUACCCAGGCUCAACCUGGGGGCUGCAUUUCAAACUGGAAAUCUAGAGUGCAGGAGAGGAAAGUGGAAUUCCUAGUGUAGCGGUGAAAUGCGUAGAGAUUAGGAAGAACACCAGUGGCGAAGGCGACUUUCUGGACUGUAACUGACGCUGAGGCACGAAAGCGUGGGGAGCAAACAGGA
rnacentral:rRNA from 1 species